UUUUUAUGGAGAGUUUGAUCCUGGCUCAGGACGAACGCUGGCGGCGUGCUUAACACAUGCAAGUCGAACGGAAAGGCCCUGCUUGCAGGGUACUCGAGUGGCGAACGGGUGAGUAACACGUGGGUGAUCUGCCUUGCACUUCGGGAUAAGCCUGGGAAACUGGGUCUAAUACCGGAUAGGACCAUGCUUUAGUGUGUGUGGUGGAAAGUUUUUCGGUGCAAGAUGAGCCCGCGGCCUAUCAGCUUGUUGGUGGGGUAAUGGCCUACCAAGGCGACGACGGGUAGCCGGCCUGAGAGGGUGUACGGCCACAUUGGGACUGAGACACGGCCCAGACUCCUACGGGAGGCAGCAGUGGGGAAUAUUGCACAAUGGGCGCAAGCCUGAUGCAGCGACGCCGCGUGGGGGAUGAAGGCCUUCGGGUUGUAAACUCCUUUCGCUAGGGAAGAAGCC
rnacentral:rRNA from 1 species